UACGUAGGGUCCGAGCGUUGUCCGGAAUUAUUGGGCGUAAAGAGCUCGUAGGCGGUCUGUCGCGUCUGCUGUGAAAACUCGGGGCUUAACCCCGGGCCUGCAGCCGAUACGGGCAGGCUAGAGUUCGGUAGGGGAGACUGGAAUUCCUGGUGUAGCGGUGAAAUGCGCAGAUAUCAGGAGGAACACCGGUGGCGAAGGCGGGUCUCUGGGCCGAUACUGACGCUGAGGAGCGAAAGCGUGGGGAGCGAACAGG
rnacentral:rRNA from 1 species